UUUUAAAAGAAGAUUUCUUCGGAUUGACUCUUUUAUUAUCUUAGCGGCGGACGGGUGAGUAACGCGUGAGAAACCUGCCUUUCACAAAGGGAUAGCCUCGGGAAACUGGGAUUAAUACCUUAUGAUACUUUUAGAUAGCAUUAUUUAAAAGUCAAAGCGUAAAGCGGUGAAAGAUGGUCUCGCGUCCCAUUAGCUAGUUGGUGAGAUAAAAGCUCACCAAGGCAACGAUGGGUAACCGGCCUGAGAGGGUGAACGGUCACACUGGAACUGAGACACGGUCCAGACUCCUACGGGAGGCAGCAGUGGGGAAUAUUGCACAAUGGAGGAAACUCUGAUGCAGCGACGCCGCGUGAACGAUGAAGGCUUUCGAGUCGUAAAGUUCUGUCCUAGGGGACGAUAAUGACGGUACCCUAGGAGGAAGCCCCGGCUAAUUACGUGCCAGCAGCCGCGGUAAUACGUAAGGGGCGAGCGUUGUCCGGAAUUAUUGGGCGUAAAGGGUUCGCAGGCGGCCUUUUAAGUCAGAUGUGAAAUCUCACGGCUUAACCGUGGUAAGCAUUUGAAACUGAAAGGCUUGAGUUAAGGAGAGGAAAGUGGAAUUCCUAGUGUAGCGGUGAAAUGCGUAGAUAUUAGGAAGAAUACCAGUGGCGAAGGCGACUUUCUGGACUUAUACUGACGCUGAGGAACGAAAGCAUGGGGAGCAAACAGGAUUAGAUACCCUGGUAGUCCAUGCCGUAAACGAUGAGUGCUAGGUGUUGGGGGUCAAACCUCGGUGCCGCAGCUAACGCAUUAAGCACUCCGCCUGGGGAGUACGUACGCAAGUAUGAAACUCAAAGGAAUUGACGGGGACCCGCACAAGCAGCGGAGCAUGUGGUUUAAUUCGAAGC
rnacentral:rRNA from 1 species